UCUCUCUCGCACGAGACAGAGUCUCUCUCUCUUCUCUUCCCUUCUGUUUUUCAUUUCUUCUUCUAUUUUGACCUAACGGCUGUGCCUGUGCUGUGGCUGCUCAAAUCUUCAAUCCAGAGCUGCACCUCUGCUGCGGCUGUGCCUGUGCCGCUUCCUCAUCGAUUUCACGAUCUCCCGCCCAGGCCUAGGCACACACAACACAAACCCGAUCAAGAGCCGCCACAACCACCUCCAUUGCCGAAGGUUGCUUUGUGAAGGCUUUUGGAAGAAUGGAUGCAGCAUAUUUUUUUGCAAGGAUAUUAUCUCUAUGUGUAUUUUUGUGAUGGGUUGUAAUCUUUAAUGUCAUAAGUUUAAUUUGGUUGGUGUAUUAUUUUUUGUAAUGGUUUGUAAGAGAUUAUAUUUCCUUUCCUUGGUUGGUUGGUUGAAUGUGUGUGUGAGAUUUAUUUAGUCUAGAAACUUAGAUUGGAAUGAUGGAUUUUUAUAGCUUGAAUGUACAUAAUUUCAGGUUUUGAAAGACAAGUAAAAAGUGUUUUGGGCUUGUUCAUAAGAA